rnacentral:rRNA from 1 species
CAGUAGCCACGGGAAUACGUAGGGUGCAAGCGUUAAUCGGAAUUACUGGGCGUAAAGCGUGCGCAGGCGGUUUGUUAAGACAGAUGUGAAAUCCCCGGGCUCAACCUGGGAACUGCAUUUGUGACUGGCAAGCUAGAGUAUGGCAGAGGGGGGUGGAAUUCCGCGUGUAGCAGUGAAAUGCGUAGAUAUGCGGAGGAACACCGAUGGCGAAGGCAGCCCCCUGUGCCAAUACUGACGCUCAUGCACGAAAGCGUGGGGAGCAAACAGGAUUAGAUACCCGCGUAGUCCCUGUCUCUUAUAA